GAUGAACGCUGGCGGCGUGCCUAAUACAUGCGAGUCGAGCGAACAGAUGAGGAGCUUGCUCCUCUGACGUUAGCGGCGGACGGGUGAGUAACACGUGGAUAACCUACCUAUAAGACUGGGAUAACUUCGGGAAACCGGAGCUAAUACCGGAUAAUAUAUUGAACCGCAUGGUUCAAUAGUGAAAGACGGUUUUGCUGUCACUUAUAGAUGGAUCCGCGCCGCAUUAGCUAGUUGGUAAGGUAACGGCUUACCAAGGCAACGAUGCGUAGCCGACCUGAGAGGGUGAUCGGCCACACUGGAACUGAGACACGGUCCAGACUCCUACGAGAGGCAGCAGUAGGGAAUCUUCCGCAAUGGGCGAAAGCCUGACGGAGCAACGCCGCGUGAGUGAUGAAGGUCUUCGGAUCGUAAAACUCUGUUAUUAGGGAAGAACAAAUGUGUAAGUAACUAUGCACGUCUUGACGGUACCUAAUCAGAAAGCCACGGCUAACUACGUG
rnacentral:rRNA from 1 species